UUCAGUUUCAAAUACAAACCUUCUAAAUUUAAACAAAAAGAGGGCACAUAUGUUGGGCUUAGAAUUUAAACAGUUCGGUUUAAAUUUUAAACCCAAACCUUUUCAUAAUUAAGAAUAAA